rnacentral:rRNA from 1 species
UACGGAGGGUGCGAGCGUUGUUCGGAAUUACUGGGCGUAAAGCGCGUGUAGGCGGUCGAGCAAGUCAGAUGUGAAAGCCUUUCGCUUAACGGAAGAAGUGCAUUUGAAACUACUCGGCUGGAGUUCGGGAGAGGAGAGUGGAAUUCCUGGUGUAGAGGUGAAAUUCGUAGAUAUCAGGAGGAACACCGGUGGCGAAGGCGGCUCUCUGGCCCGGUACUGACGCUGAGACGCGAAAGCGUGGGGAGCAAACAGG